CCAUGAAGUGGUGACAGAGCUGCACUUCAAACAUAGACUGUCAAGUACUGUAUAUUACUGUAUGUUCUCUUUGCCUUUAUAGAGGUUCAGCAUGUUUCCUAAGACUCUGUGUUUGUUGUUUUCUUUUUCCUUUGUUUUGUAUUGCAGAUCUGGACUUGAAGGAUAAAGGACUGCAGAGUAAAGCCAGCGAAAUAGAGUCUAGUGAGGGAGGAAAACGGGCGCUGUGCAGGGAGAGCAGCUCAAAUCCACUGUCACCCUGCGGCUCCAGGGAAUGUUGCUUGGGGAAAGGCACAGGGGAGAAAUCUCUGUUCGACACCCAGCUGAGAACAUUAUUGGAUCGGCCAGAUUAUGGGGAAGAAAGCUAAGAAAAAAGAAGGUCCAAGCAAGACGGAUUUAGCUCUAUGGUGACUGUCAGUGACACGGUGGGAGUCUGCAGUGCUUAAUGCUCAUCAGGAGCUCCCACGUUGGAGUUUCACCCAUCCCAAGGGCACGCUGCUUGCUUUGGGAUGACAUGGGAUUACAGGCGGUCCAGUCUCAGCGGAGCCUCAGGUUGGCAGGAUAUUAAUUAAGUAAUUAUCAUGCCGUGAGGCGCAGCUAUGAAUUAUGCAUGAGGUCUUGAUUGGGACAUUUGUGAUUGUGUAAUCUAAUUUCAGCCAUAUGUCUGACGCCUUUAGCUGAGUGUCUAACAUCUGAGAGCGCCCAAGCACAAAUACAUACAAAUACAUUUUCAGGUUUUCAAUUAUAUAUUUAAAAUUCUAACAUAUUCAAAUACAGAAGGUUUUCUUUUGCACUGUGGACACACACUCAUCAUCAUAAAGAUUAUCGGAAAGACCGGAAUACCAAUAUAUUAUUGAUUUUUACUAAUAUAGGAGAGACUAGUCAGACUUUUUUACUCUAAUACAAAAUACUGUAGCACUGAUAUAUAAUAGAAUAUUUCUCAGGGUAUGUUCCUCAAUGCUGGUGAUAUAAGUAUGUAUAUAUCAACUGGCCCUGGCCUCCUCAUAACAUAUAUAGAUACAGUUAUGCUACUGCUGUUCUGAAACAUCAUCCAACAAAUAUUCCUAUUGACUAAUUUACAUACCUCUUUUGAAAUUUAACAGAAUAAAUUUGUCAAACAAAUUUGUUGGAAACA
ensembl:lncRNA